rnacentral:sRNA from 1 species
CCUUGUAAACCAGAAUCGCUUUGGAGAGGCCUCGGGGGCAGGUGCCAUUUGCAGUUCUGGUGUUUUCCGUAGGUUGUGUGUGUGGCUUGGGUGCCCUGUCCCCUGGAGGAAGGAGUGUCUGGUAGCUGCUCUUCAGCCUCUGGUGAGCCGCACCUCCCGCCAUCCCAGCCCCACCCAGCAGGUUGGCUUGGAGUGAGGCGAUUACUUUGUACCUAGACUCUGACAUAAAAGCUGUUAGCUCAGAUUUUUCAACUUAAAAAUGCAAGCCGGGUGCAGCGGCUCAUGCCUAUAUUCCCAGCACUUUGGGAGGCCGGGGCAGGAAGAUGGCUUGAGCCCAGGAGUUGGAGACCAGCCUGGCCAACACAGCGAGAAUCUGUCUCUAACAAGAUGUUUUUUACAUUAGCUAGGUGUGGUGCCGCACAUCUGCGGUCUCAGCUUCUCUGGAGGAUCGCCUGAGCCCGGGAGUUCGAGGCUGCAGUGAGCUGUGACUGUGCCACUGCACUCCAGCCUGGGUGACAGAGUGAGACCCUGUCUCUAAAAAUUAAAAUUAAAAUGCAAACUUCAAUGUGCCAAAAUGUUGUUUUUUAGACAUGCAAGAAAGCACUUCAGCCAAGCAGAAGGGAGCCAGCUGGAUGAGGUGCGCCAGGCCAUGGGCAUGCUGGCCUUCCCACCCGACACGCACAUCUCCCCGUACAAGGACCUCCUGGACCCUGCACGGUGGCGGAUGCUGAUCCAGCAGUUCCGGUACGACAACUACCGACUACACCAGCUGGGAAACAACUCUGUGUUCACCCUCACGCUGCAGGCCGGCCUCUCAGCCAUCAAGACACCACAGUGCUACAAGGAGGAUGGCAGCUCCAAGAGCCCUGACUGCCCUGUGUGCAGCCGCUCCCUGAACAAGCUGGCGCAGCCCCUGCCCAUGGCCCACUGUGCCAACUCCCGCCUGGUCUGCAAGAUUUCUGGCGACGUGAUGAACGAGAACAACCCGCCCAUGAUGCUGCCCAACGGCUACGUCUACGGCUACAAUUCUCUGCUUUCUAUCCGUCAAGAUGAUAAAGUCGUUUGCCCGAGAACCAAAGAAGUCUUCCACUUCUCACAGGCCGAGAAGGUGUACAUCAUGUAGGCCCCAUGUCGUGAAGCGCACGCCUCGGGGACGGGCUGCGGCGGGCGGGGAGGCCACGCCUUCCUCCUGUCCCUCGCUCCAGCCUGCCACGGCGUUUCUGUUUCUUGCGACCAAAGAUCAGUGAGCAAUGAUAAAUACUCUUAGGAAGAGAGAAAAUAAGGUUUAAUAAGUUUGUACUUGAAAACAUUUUGAUUGGUAGGAUUUUGUAACACGUCAACCAUUUGAUGCUUCGGAAAAGUACUUUCAACUUGCGAAGGAAACUUUUCUUUAAAGACUGACCUAAACACCGAGGGAAACUUUAGAACGUUUAAAAUAUAGGAGUCCGUGAUUUCCCUGUGUUUUCAGUUUCUUUCCUUCUGUGAACGAUGAGACUUGGAGAACGGGCUGGUCCUUCACCGCUUUCUGUUGGCCCUGGCCCGGCCGGGGAAGGUGGCAGCGGCACUGGACUGACCUGCAGUGACCCGUGAUGCCGCGCCACGAGGGACACUUAUGGCUUCAUUCGAGAGCUGCUGCCAAAACGCCUGGCGCCGCCACCGUCGGGCCGGCUUCGAGGACACCCGCCUGCCUCGCGGGCCGUGUCCGCGGGACUGUGUUCGUACGUGCGUAGUUUCGAUAUCACAUCGCGGGGCUGUGUUCGUACGUGCGUAGUUUCAAUAUCACACCCUCUGUGUGCCGCCUUACUUCCUGCUUCGAGAAUGUAUAACGUGGAAAUCCACGGGACCAAGUUUCUGCAGAGGCCUUGCCGGAUGGUUCCACAACUGUAGAGUCUAAUUACUAUCCAUUACAGAAAUUAAUCGUUCAGUUGAAAGAAGUACUGAUGACUUUUCAAAACAAAUGAACCACCGUAGCUGACAGAGAACCGUAUCGUAGAGGUUUGUAGUUAGUGCUUAUUUUUGCAUGUUGAUGUUGACUAGCUAAUAAACUGUAAAUGUAAACCAUGCG